ACGGCUCAGUAACACGUAGUCAACAUACCCAGAGGACGUGGAUAACCUCGGGAAACUGAGGAUAAACCGCGAUAGACCAUAAUGUCUGGAAUGAUUUAUGGUUCAAAUCUAUAUGGCCUCUGGAUUGGACUGCGGCCGAUCAGGCUGUUGGUGAGGUAAUGGCCCACCAAACCUGAAACCGGUACGGGCUCUGAGAGGAGAAGCCCGGAGAUGGGCACUGAGACAAGGGCCCAGGCCCUAUGGGGCGCAGCAGGCGCGAAACCUUUGCAAUAGGCGAAAGCCUGACAAGGUUACUCUGAGUGAUCUCCGCUAAGGAAAUCUUUUGACACCUCUAAAAAUGGUGCAGAAUAAGGGGUGGGCAAGCCUGGUGUCAGCCGCCGCGGUAAUACCAGCACCCCGAGUGGUCGGGACGAUUAUUGGGCCUAAAGCAUCCGUAGCCGGUUCUACAAGUCUUCCGUUAAAUCCACCUGCUUAACAGAUGGGCUGCAGAGGAUACUAUAGAGCUAGGAGGCGGGAGAGGCAAGCGGUACUCAGUGGGUAGGGGUAAAAUCCGUUGAUCCACUGAAGACCACCAGUGGCGAAGGCGGCUUGCCAGAACGCGCUCGACGGUGAGGGAUGAAAGCUGGGGGAGCAAACCGGAUUAGAUACCCGGGUAGUCCCAGCUGUAAACGAUGCAGACUCGGUGAUGAAUAGGCUUAGUGCCUAUUCAGUGCCGCAGGGAAGCCGUUAAGUCUGCCGCCUGGGGAGUACGGUCGCAAGACUGAAACUUAAAGGAAUUGGCGGGGGAG
rnacentral:rRNA from 1 species